rfam:Cavia porcellus supercont2_18 genomic scaffold, whole genome shotgun sequence.
GUUAAGGUGGCAGAGCCUGGUAAUUGCAUAAAACUUAAAACUUUACCCCCAGAGGUUCAACUCCUCUCCUUAACA